AUGCCGCGUGAGUGAUGAAGGCCUUAGGGUUGUAAAGCUCUUUUACCCGGGAUGAUAAUGACAGUACCGGGAGAAUAAGCCCCGGCUAACUCCGUGCCAGCAGCCGCGGUAAUACGGAGGGGGCUAGCGUUGUUCGGAAUUACUGGGCGUAAAGCGCACGUAGGCGGCGAUUUAAGUCAGAGGUGAAAGCCCGGGGCUCAACCCCGGAAUAGCCUUUGAGACUGGAUUGCUUGAAUCCGGGAGAGGUGAGUGGAAUUCCGAG
rnacentral:rRNA from 1 species